AUGUUUUUGGUGGCACAUGGGAUAAAACUGGAACCAUACAGAGAAGAUUAGUGAAAUUCCUAUGCAAGGAUGACAUGAACAUACAUGGAGCUUUCUGUGGACUG
ensembl:snRNA U6 U6 spliceosomal RNA